CCUACGGGAGGCAGCAGUGGGGAAUAUUGGACAAUGGGGGGAACCCUGAUCCAGCCAUGCCGCGUGUGUGAAGAAGGCCCUCGGGUUGUAAAGCACUUUCAGUGAGGAAGAACGCCUGGUGGUUAAUACCCAUCAGGAAAGACAUCACUCACAGAAGAAGCACCGGCUAACUCCGUGCCAGCAGCCGCGGUAAUACGGAGGGUGCGAGCGUUAAUCGGAAUUACUGGGCGUAAAGCGCGCGUAGGUGGCUUGAUAAGCCGGUUGUGAAAGCCCCGGGCUCAACCUGGGAACGGCAUCCGGAACUGCCAAGCUAGAGUGCAGGAGAGGAAGGUAGAAUUCCCGGUGUAGCGGUGAAAUGCGUAGAGAUCGGGAGGAAUACCAGUGGCGAAGGCGGCCUUCUGGACUGACACUGACACUGAGGUGCGAAAGCGUGGGUAGCAAACAGGAUUAGAUACCCCAGUAGUC
rnacentral:rRNA from 1 species